UACGAACCGUCCAAACGUUAUUCGGAAUUACUGGGCUUAAAGGGUUUGUAGGCGGCCUUGUAAGUGGGGUGUGAAAUCCCUCGGCUCAACCGAGGAAUAGCGCUCCAAACUACAUGGCUUGAGGGAGACAGGGGUUAGCGGAACUGAUGGUGGAGCGGUGAAAUGCGUUGAUAUCAUCAGGAACACCGGUGGCGAAAGCGGCUAACUGGGUCUCUUCUGACGCUGAGAAACGAAAGCUAGGGUAGCGAACGGG
rnacentral:rRNA from 1 species